rnacentral:rRNA from 1 species
UACAGAGGGUGCAAGCGUUGUUCGGAAUUAUUGGGCGUAAAGGGCGCGUAGGCGGCGGGGUAAGUCGGGUGUGAAAUCUCAGAGCUCAACUCUGAAAUGGCACUUGAUACUGCUCUGCUAGAGGACUGGAGAGGAGAUUGGAAUUCACGGUGUAGCAGUGAAAUGCGUAGAUAUCGUGAGGAAGACCGGUGGCGAAGGCGGAUCUCUGGACAGUUCCUGACGCUGAGGCGCGAAGGCCAGGGGAGCAAACGGG